CCUACGGGAGGCAGCAGUGGGGAAUAUUGGGCAAUGGAGGAAACUCUGACCCAGCGACGCCGCGUGCGGGAUGAAGGCCUUCGGGUUGUAAACCGCUUUCAGUAGGGAAGAAGCGAAAGUGACGGUACCUACAAAAGAAGCACCGGCUAACUAUGUGCCAGCAGCCGCGGUAAUACAUAGGGUGCAAGCGUUGUCCGGAAUUAUUGGGCGUAAAGAGCUCGUAGGUCGUUUGUUACGUCGGAUGUGAAAACCUGAGGCUCAACCUCAGGCCUGCAUUCGAUACGGGCAAACUAGAGUUUGGUAGGGGAGACUGGAAUUCCUGGUGUAGCGGUGGAAUGCGCAGAUAUCAGGAGGAACACCAAUGGCGAAGGCAGGUCUCUGGGCCAAUACUGACACUGAGGAGCGAAAGUCUGGGGAGCGAACAGGAUUAGAUACCCUGGUAGUCCAGACCGUAAACGGUGGGCACUAGUUGUGGGAACCUUCCACGGUUUCUGCGACGCAGCUAACGCAUUAAGUGCCCCGCCUGGGGAGUACGAUCGCAAGAUUAAAACUCAAAGGAAUUGACGGCUUGAGAGUUGCGAGCGCGACGAGGAGGAG
rnacentral:rRNA from 1 species